GCGCAGCAGUCGAGAAACUUUACAAUGUGCGAAAGCACGAUAAGGGAACUCUGAGUGCCUCCUAAGGAGGCUGUUCAGGUGUCUAAAAGCACCUGGAGUAAGGGCUGGGUAAGACCGGUGCCAGCCGCCGCGGUAACACCGGCAGCCCAGGUGGUAGCCACUUUUAUUGGGUCUAAAGCGUCCGUAGCCGGUCGAGUAAGUUCCUUGGGAAAUUUGGCUGCUCAACAGUCAAGCUUCCAGGGAAUACUGCUCGACUUGGGGACUGGGAGAGGUCAGAGGUACUCCAGGGGUAGGGUGAAAUCCAUUAAUCCCUGGGGGACCACCGGUAGCGAAGGCGUCUGACCAGACCAGGUCCGACGGUGAGGGACGAAGGCUAGGGUCGCGAACCGGAUUGGAUACCCGUGUAGU
rnacentral:rRNA from 1 species